CAGAUAACCAGAGGAUUCAGGUGGGGCAGAAGGAAGGACCCACCAAAAACCCUGUGGCAGGAAAGAGGAUAGCACAUCUGAGGAACAGAAGCAAGAGCUCUGGAGUAAAGAAGAAACACGUGAUGAAAGCUGGUCUAUGACGGAGGGAUUUACAAAGAGGAGGCGGUUGAAGAAGAGGGAGUGAAUAUUUAGGAAGUUCUGGGAUGGCUUCAGAAAGGAAGAAAACAUGAAGUCUUAAAGGAUAAGAUCACCCUGGCUCCUGGACAGACAACAGAUUGGAGAGGGGCCUGGCAUAGCAGGAAGACAAUUUGGGAAGCUGCUGUUGCCUCACUGGAAUACAAACCAUCCCCCCUCCUCAACAGCCUUCACCUCCAAAGGUUGAGCCGCUUGAAAACGUCUCCAGCCUGCUCUUGCAAUGUCAUCUUGCAGUUAUCAUAUUUAAUCUCUACUUGGUUUAUUUCUGCGUUGAUCCUGUCCAUUUUCUAGGAUAGACUGUACCACCAUUCUUCAGCAGUUGGACUCGGCCCCUCCCACUUGGUAGCCACAAGUAGUCACCAAGUAAUUCUGUUUCCUGUCCACAGUGCCAUGGAGCUCAACAUCUCAGAAAGCAUCUUUGCAGAAAGGUGGUCUCUAACCUUGACUGACACAUUAGCACUACUCAAGAAUCCUUUCAUAUACCUCUACUCAUUAACUUAAUUCAUUGACUUGAGCACCUACUAGGUGUAAGACAUUAUGCCAAGCUUGGGAUAAUUAAUGGUCUGCAGGCAACUCCUUCUCCUAUCAUUCCUGCAGCUCUUUUCUAACCUAUACUGUCCUGGAGUCCCCAGCCCCAA